rnacentral:rRNA from 1 species
GUCGAGAAUCUUUCACAAUGGGGGCAACCCUGAUGGAGCGACGCCGCGUGGAGGAUAAGGUCUUCGGAUUGUAAACUCCUGUCAUGCGUGAACAAGGUUGCUUGGUUAAUACCUGGGCAAAUUGAUGGUAACGCAAGAGGAAGAGACGGCUAACUCUGUGCCAGCAGCCGCGGUAAUACAGAGGUCUCAAGCGUUGUGCGGAAUCACGGGGCGUAAAGGGUGCGUAGGUGGCGUGGUAAGUCAGAUGUGAAAGCCCGGGGCUCAACCUCGGAACUGCAUCCGAUACUGCCAUGUUGGAGUACUGGAGAGGUGACUAGAAUUCUCGGUGUAGCAGUGAAAUGCGUAGAUAUCGAGAGGAAUACCAAAGGCGUAGGAAGGUCACUGGACAGUUACUGACACUGAGGCACGAAGGCCAGGGGAGCGAACGGGAUUAGAUACCCGUGUAGUCC